UCACCACAGCAGCAAGUCCUCACAUUCUGUGCUGGAGAACGUCAUGGACAUGCAGCAGCAAUCGGCCUGUAGCAGUCAUUUAUGACACCCCAGCAUGUUAUCUGGGGCAUCCUUGCUUAAGUCAGCCUUCCUGAAGAAGAACUGUUAGGCAUCAGAACAAAGAGAAGAACCUGUUACAGAGCAGUUGGUAAUGAACUUGGUUGCAAUAUAUAUUUUUAUGGAUAUCUAGGAAGGAAUUGCACUGCCGUUUAUUUGAGGAAUGAGGAAAAGCACUGAUGCACCUCUUAUAAUCAAAGUAGAAUUAUACACUUCAAUCCUGCCUUUGCUACCAGAUAUUUGAUUGAAGAAACACAGAAAACUUCAGAGCUUUUCCCAGGAGAUCAGCAGCAUUGAUACUUUAAGGACACUCUGCCUUACAGAGCUCUGCCCUGGACUGUAUGUCAGAAUCCAGCAUCAGCAGCUCCAGCAGAGAUCCCUGCUACUGAGACACUUCACAGAUGCUAAAGGCAGAGGUAGUUACAUACUGUGUGCUGAUUCAUCCUCUUUUUUGUUGCUCACAAUUAUGUCCUGACUUCACAUGAUUUCUUUCUGAAGAAAGACCAGACAAUCAUUAGGGUAGGGAACUGAGCAGAGUUGGCGUUAGGAUGCUGCCAGAAGACCUCUGAUACACCUCUCAAAAUCAGUUAGGCCACUGUACUCAAAAUACUCACUGUACUCUCUGUGUUCUCCCACACUGAUGAAGGAAAUCACAACUCAAUCUGAGAGAGAAACCACACGUUAAAAAUGUUGGUCCUCCUCACAUUUGCUCUAAAAUUCACAGGAUGGUAUGACAAAGCUGUGUUUGCAGCUUCAUUGGCAGCCUUAGUUUUAACACUUCUGUAUGUGUUGUAUGUGCACAUAGAAAAUUAUUCUAAAAGCAAAUACAGCUGGGUUGGCUUUUCCUUUGACUACACAAGAUGUUGAUGAGAAUUCUACGGAGUACAACCUCUCUGAGUACAGAUGGCAGGAAAACCAGAUAAAACAGCAUUAUUUUAAUCCUGAGGUUAAAGUAGCGCCUCUCAAGUGUAAACAUAUAGAAUUUAACAACUUACACAGACCAAGAUUAUUUUACCUAUGCUGUACAUAAAAUAAAGUAUAUCCAA